GCCUCAUUUCUUUUCACUACCCACUCCUUUCUUCACUCCCACACACUCUCCUCCUCCCCUCCCCACGAAAUAUUGCUCCCCCAAGGCUUCAUGGCCGGCCAUGGCCAUGGAAAGAGCUCCAAGAUGAAGUCCCCUCCUCCCUCAAGCUCCUCCUCACCAUGAGAGCCUCCCUCUCCUUCUUCUCCCCAACCCUAGAUGGUUUUCUCUCCUAUUCUUCUUCCUCCCUUGCUAAGAUUGGAUCUUGAUGCAGGUGCAUGUUGGUCCAAGCAUGGAGAAGCUUGAGCUAUCCUCAGAUCUGAAGUUCUUGAGCAAAAUCAAAAUCGAGUGAUUCAAAGUUCCGCGGAUAGGUAUUCAAAAGAUCUAUAACUUGGCGUUGGUCUCAUCCUCAAAUUCGCUACAGAUUCUCCCUGAUCAAGAUCUGGUCAGAUCUGAAUUUAUCGAAUUAAACCAGGAGCUUGGAGACGAAUUUUUGAAUGAAACAAAUUAGG